rnacentral:rRNA from 1 species
UGGGGAAUCUUGCACAAUGGGGGCAACCCUGAUGCAGCGACGCCGCGUGAGCGAUGAAGCCCUUCGGGGCGUAAAGCUCUUUCGACCGGAACGAUAAUGACGGUACCGGGAGAAGAAGCUGCGGCUAACUACGUGCCAGCAGCCGCGGUAAUACGUAGGCAGCAAGCGUUGUUCGGAGUUACUGGGCGUAAAGAGUGCGUAGGCGGUUUUCUAAGUUCGGUGUGAAAUCUCCCGGCUUAACUGGGAGGGUGCGCCGAAGACUGGGAACCUGGAGUGUGGGAAAGGCAGGCGGAAUUCCUGGUGUAGCGGUGAAAUGCGUAGAUAUCAGGAGGAACACCGGCGGUGUAGACGGCUUGCUAGACCAUAACUGACGCUGAGGCACGAAAGCGUGGGUAGCAAACA